CGCGGAGUGGAGCAGUGGUAGCUCGCCAGGCUCAUAACCUGGAGGUCGUUGGUUCGAGUCCGGCCUCCGCAA
rnacentral:tRNA from 1 species